AGAAUCAACGCUGGCGGCGUGCCUAACACAUGCAAGUCGAACGAGAAAGUGGAGCAAUCCAUGAGUAAAGUGGCGCACGGGUGAGUAACACGUGACUAACCUACCUUUUAGUGGGGGAUAACCUAGGGAACCUGGGCUAAUACCGCAUAAUACCUACGGGUCAAAGCAGCAAUGCGCUGGAAGAGGGGGUCGCGGUCGAUUAGUUAGUUGGCAGGGUAAUGGCCUACCAAGACUGUGAUCGAUA
rnacentral:rRNA from 1 species